AAUCAACGCUGGCGGCGUGCCUAACACAUGCAAGUCGCACGAGAAAGUGGGGGCAACUCCAUGAGUAAAGUGGCGUACGGGUGAGUAACACGUGACUAACCUACCUCCGAAUGGGGAAUAACUCCGGGAAACCGGGGCUAAUACCGCAUAACAUCUACGGAUCAAAGCAGCAAUGCGUUUGGAGAGGGGGUCGCGGCUGAUUAGCUAGUUGGUAAGGUAAUGGCUUACCAAGGCGACGAUCAGUAUCCGGCCUGAGAGGGCGCACGGACA
rnacentral:rRNA from 1 species